rnacentral:rRNA from 1 species
AGAGUUUGAUCAUGGCUCAGGAUGAACGCUGGCGGCGUGCUUAACACAUGCAAGUCGAACGAAGCAUUUACAGAAGAAAUCCUCGGAUGGACUCUGUAUCUGACUGAGUGGCGGACGGGUGAGUAACGCGUGGGUAACCUGCCCUGUACAGGGGGAUAACAGUUAGAAAUGACUGCUAACACCGCAUAAGCGCACAAAAAGGCAUCUUUUGGUGUGAAAAUAUUCAUAGGUACAGGAUGGGCCCGCGUCUGAUUAGCCAGUUGGCAGGGUAACGGCCUACCAAAGCAACGAUCAGUAGCCGGCUUGAGAGAGUGGACGGCCACAUUGGGACUGAGACACGGCCCAAACUCCUACGGGAGGCAGCAGUGGGGAAUAUUGCACAAUGGGGGAAACCCUGAUGCAGCGACGCCGCGUGAGUGAAGAAGUACCUCGGUAUGUAAAGCUCUAUCAGCAGGGAAGUGACGGUACCUGACUAAGAAGCCCCGGCUAACUACGUGCCAGCAGCCGCGGUAAUACGUAGGGGGCAAGCGUUAUCCGGAUUUACUGGGUGUAAAGGGUGCGUAGGUGGUAUGGCAAGUCAGAAGUGAAAACGCGGGGCUCAACUCCGCGACUGCUUUUGAAACUGUCAGACUGGAGUCCAGGAGAGGCAGGCGGAAUUCCUAGUGUAGCGGUGAAAUGCGUAGAUAUUAGGAGGAACACCAGUGGCGAAGGCGGCCUGCUGGACUGGGACUGACACUGAGGCACGAAAGCGUGGGGAGCAAACAGGAUUAGAUACCCUGGUAGUCCACGCCGUAAACGAU